UCUUAGGUAGUAUAGUGGUUAGUAUUCGCGCCUGUCAGGGGUUCAACUCCAGAUCGCGCGAGACCGGGGUUCAAUUCCCCGCCUGAGAG
rnacentral:tRNA from 1 species